GAUUGUUGAGAAGAUAGCUGCAG
rnacentral:snRNA from 1 species